rnacentral:tRNA from 1 species
AAAAAAUUAGUUAAAAUUAUAACAUUAGUAUGUCAAACUGAAAUUAUUAAUCUAUUAAUAUUUUUUA